rnacentral:rRNA from 1 species
UACGUAGGUGGCGAGCGUUGUCCGGAUUUACUGGGCGUAAAGGGUGCGUAGGUGGUUUCUUAAGUCAGAGGUGAAAGGCUACGGCUCAACCGUAGUAAGCCUUUGAAACAGGGGAACUUGAGUGCAGGAGAGGAGAGUGGAAUUCCUAGUGUAGCGGUGAAAUGCGUAGAUAUUAGGAGGAACACCAGUUGCGAAGGCGGCUCUCUGGACUGCAACUGACACUGAGGCACGAAAGCGUGGGGAGCAAACAGG